rnacentral:rRNA from 1 species
CCUACGGGCGGCAGCAGUAGGGAAUAUUGCUCAAUGGGGGCAACCCUGAACCAGCAACGCCGCGUGGAGGAUGACUGUUUUAGGAUUGUAAAAUCCUUUUGUUAGAGAAGAUAAUGACGGUACCUCUCGAAUAAGCACCGGCUAACUCCGUGCCAGCAGCCGCGGUAAUACGGAGGGUGCAAGCGUUACUCGGAAUCAUUGGGCGUAAAGAGUGCGCAGGCGGGUUUGUAAGUCAGAUGUGAAAUUCUGUAGCUUAACUACAGAACUGCAUUUGAAACUAUGAGUCUAGAGUGUGGGAGAGGUAGGUGGAAUUCGUGGUGUAGGGGUAAAAUGCGUAGAUAUCAAGAAGAAUACUCAUUGCGAAGGCGACCUACUGGAACAUUACUGACGCUGAUGCACGAAAGCGUGGGGAGCAAAUAGGAUUAGAUACCCCUGUAGUC